rnacentral:lncRNA from 1 species
UGGCGGGGUCGUUCGCACGCUCCGCGGUCAGCCUCGGUCAGCGAGGUGGGGUCGGGCGGCAGGCCGGGGUUCAGGCGGUAGCGGCUCCCCCGGCCCCCGGCGCCGCCGAAGGGCAGCUCAUGCCAGUCCCUGGGGCUGGGGGUUUAAGGCUGGGCCGCGGGUUUCCCGGGGUCGCGGCGGUUGCCUCCUCUGAGGCGGCGGCAGUGGCGGGGGGGGGGGGGAGACGAAGCACUUCCCCACCCCGCCCCCCCGCGGGGCGGCGGCGGCCACGGAGCUGCUGGGCCUAAUCCAGGUCAGGAGGGGGGGGCGCGGCCGUCGCGGCUCCCUCAGCUGCUGCCUCAGCUGCUCCUGCUGGCCCCGCCGACGCCGGAGCCGCAGCCGCGGGCCUCAUCCUACUCCGCUUCGCAGCGGCGGCGGCGGCCAGAACGAGGCCAGCUGCGGGCGUGCGUCACGCCGCCGUGCGUGCCCUGGUCCCGCCCCCGGCGCUGGGAGGCGUGGGUAGCUCCUGCUGCGCUCCCGGCUCCUUUGCCACCCCCCGCCCCUCCCCCGUCCCCAAGCAGCUGUUUCUGGGGCUGCGUCAGUUUCUGCUUCUCUGACUGCCUGGGACGCGAUUCCGAUACCUCUUUCGGGUCUUCGGUUCCUUCCCACGCCAACUGCUCCCUCUUCGCUUGUCUCAGCUCUUACCUGUGCGUUGUUUUGACAGUCUUCUCACCACCUGCCAAGUAAUCUAUUUUUAAACCCAUAUCUGAAUGGAUCACUCCCAUGAUUAAAAUAUUAAAGGGUCUAUCCCUUCAGAAGAAAAGUCCAGACUCACCACCUCCCCAAUCACUUCCCAAUCCUCCUACAUCACAGUCACAAGAAUUCUUCUACCGAUUAUUCUAUUUAUUUCUAUUCUCACCACCAUAGUACAAGCUACCGUCAUUUCUCUGCUGUAAUACUUUGAACUAUUUCCCCUGCGUUCACCAUUGUCCCCAUUCAAUUUACUAUUUGUACAGUUACCUUUUUAAAAUGUAAAUCUGAUCAUGUCAUUCCUGUAGGAGGAAUUUAAGCGUUUUAAAGCAUUCAUUAAAAACUUCCCAAUACUUUUAUGACUGAAGUAUUAAUUCUUAAAUGGUUUACAAAUCUGGCUACCUCCCCAGUCUCAUUUGUGGCCUUGUUUCCUCACAUAUUCUAAACUCUAGGAUGUCUAGUUUUCAGUUAUCUAGAAGACUAUUCCCUCUAGCUGAGGCCUUUACCCAUAAUGUUUCUCUGACAUAAACUCACUUCUCCCCGCUCCUGACCUUACACCUUCCAUCAAACUAUAUUCCCACUUGUCCUUCCUGGACUCAACUUUGAUUCCGCUGGGAAGCCUGUCCUCUAACUCUCCAGUCUGGGUUAGUUGCCUUCUCUGUGCUGUCAGUCCCUGAGUCCCUGUGAGUCUCUGGCACAGCCAGAUCAAGCUGAAUAGCCUGCCCCUCCUCUGUGCAAGGCCUGGCACCUUGCCGGAGGCAGAAUAGGCUUUCUUCUUAACUGAAAUAACAAAGAGCUCAAGA